GCAGUGGGGAAUAUUGCACAAUGGGCGCAAGCCUGAUGCAGCCAUGCCGCGUGUAUGAAGAAGGCCUUCGGGUUGUAAAGUACUUUCAGCGGGGAGGAAGGGGACGAGGUUAAUAACCUCGUUCAUUGACGUUACCCGCAGAAGAAGCACCGGCUAACUCCGUGCCAGCAGCCGCGGUAAUACGGAGGGUGCAAGCGUUAAUCGGAAUUACUGGGCGUAAAGCGCACGCAGGCGGUCUGUUAAGUCAGAUGUGAAAUCCCCGGGCUUAACCUGGGAACUGCAUUUGAAACUGGCAGGCUUGAGUCUUGUAGAGGGGGGUAGAAUUCCAGGUGUAGCGGUGAAAUGCGUAGAGAUCUGGAGGAAUACCGGUGGCGAAGGCGGCCCCCUGGACAAAGACUGACGCUCAGGUGCGAAAGCGUGGGGAGCAAACAGGAUUAGA
rnacentral:rRNA from 1 species